rnacentral:rRNA from 1 species
GGGUUGUGAGGUUAAGCGACUAAGCGUACACGGUGGAUGCCCUGGCAGUCAGAGGCGAUGAAGGACGUGCUAAUCUGCGAUAAGCGUCGGUAAGGUGAUAUGAACCGUUAUAACCGGCGAUUUCCGAAUGGGGAAACCCAGUGUGUUUCGACACACUAUCAUUAACUGAAUCCAUAGGUUAAUGAGGCGAACCGGGGGAACUGAAACAUCUAAGUACCCCGAGGAAAAGAAAUCAACCGAGAUUCCCCCAGUAGCGGCGAGCGAACGGGGAGCAGCCCAGAGCCUGAAUCAGUGUGUGUGUUAGUGGAAGCGUCUGGAAAGGCGCGCGAUACAGGGUGACAGCCCCGUACACAAAAAUGCACAUGCUGUGAGCUCGAUGAGUAGGGCGGGACACGUGGUAUCCUGUCUGAAUAUGGGGGGACCAUCCUCCAAGGCUAAAUACUCCUGACUGACCGAUAGUGAACCAGUACCGUGAGGGAAAGGCGAAAAGAACCCCGGCGAGGGGAGUGAAAAAGAACCUGAAACCGUGUACGUACAAGCAGUGGGAGCCUCUUUAUGGGGUGACUGCGUACCUUUUGUAUAAUGGGUCAGCGACUUAUAUUCUGUAGCAAGGUUAACCGAAUAGGGGAGCCGAAGGGAAACCGAGUCUUAACUGGGCGUUAAGUUGCAGGGUAUAGACCCGAAACCCGGUGAUCUAGCCAUGGGCAGGUUGAAGGUUGGGUAACACUAACUGGAGGACCGAACCGACUAAUGUUGAAAAAUUAGCGGAUGACUUGUGGCUGGGGGUGAAAGGCCAAUCAAACCGGGAGAUAGCUGGUUCUCCCCGAAAGCUAUUUAGGUAGCGCCUCGUGAAUUCAUCUCCGGGGGUAGAGCACUGUUUCGGCAAGGGGGUCAUCCCGACUUACCAACCCGAUGCAAACUGCGAAUACCGGAGAAUGUUAUCACGGGAGACACACGGCGGGUGCUAACGUCCGUCGUGAAGAGGGAAACAACCCAGACCGCCAGCUAAGGUCCCAAAGUCAUGGUUAAGUGGGAAACGAUGUGGGAAGGCCCAGACAGCCAGGAUGUUGGCUUAGAAGCAGCCAUCAUUUAAAGAAAGCGUAAUAGCUCACUGGUCGAGUCGGCCUGCGCGGAAGAUGUAACGGGGCUAAACCAUGCACCGAAGCUGCGGCAGCGACGCUGAUGCGUUGUUGGGUAGGGGAGCGUUCUGUAAGCCUGCGAAGGUGUGCUGUGAGGCAUGCUGGAGGUAUCAGAAGUGCGAAUGCUGACAUAAGUAACGAUAAAGCGGGUGAAAAGCCCGCUCGCCGGAAGACCAAGGGUUCCUGUCCAACGUUAAUCGGGGCAGGGUGAGUCGACCCCUAAGGCGAGGCCGAAAGGCGUAGUCGAUGGGAAACAGGUUAAUAUUCCUGUACUUGGUGUUACUGCGAAGGGGGGACGGAGAAGGCUAUGUUGGCCGGGCGACGGUUGUCCCGGUUUAAGCGUGUAGGCUGGUUUUCCAGGCAAAUCCGGAAAAUCAAGGCUGAGGCGUGAUGACGAGGCACUACGGUGCUGAAGCAACAAAUGCCCUGCUUCCAGGAAAAGCCUCUAAGCAUCAGGUAACAUCAAAUCGUACCCCAAACCGACACAGGUGGUCAGGUAGAGAAUACCAAGGCGCUUGAGAGAACUCGGGUGAAGGAACUAGGCAAAAUGGUGCCGUAACUUCGGGAGAAGGCACGCUGAUAUGUAGGUGAAGCGACUUGCUCGUGGAGCUGAAAUCAGUCGAAGAUACCAGCUGGCUGCAACUGUUUAUUAAAAACACAGCACUGUGCAAACACGAAAGUGGACGUAUACGGUGUGACGCCUGCCCGGUGCCGGAAGGUUAAUUGAUGGGGUUAGCGGUAACGCGAAGCUCUUGAUCGAAGCCCCGGUAAACGGCGGCCGUAACUAUAACGGUCCUAAGGUAGCGAAAUUCCUUGUCGGGUAAGUUCCGACCUGCACGAAUGGCGUAAUGAUGGCCAGGCUGUCUCCACCCGAGACUCAGUGAAAUUGAACUCGCUGUGAAGAUGCAGUGUACCCGCGGCAAGACGGAAAGACCCCGUGAACCUUUACUAUAGCUUGACACUGAACAUUGAGCCUUGAUGUGUAGGAUAGGUGGGAGGCUUUGAAGUGUGGACGCCAGUCUGCAUGGAGCCGACCUUGAAAUACCACCCUUUAAUGUUUGAUGUUCUAACGUUGACCCGUAAUCCGGGUUGCGGACAGUGUCUGGUGGGUAGUUUGACUGGGGCGGUCUCCUCCUAAAGAGUAACGGAGGAGCACGAAGGUUGGCUAAUCCUGGUCGGACAUCAGGAGGUUAGUGCAAUGGCAUAAGCCAGCUUGACUGCGAGCGUGACGGCGCGAGCAGGUGCGAAAGCAGGUCAUAGUGAUCCGGUGGUUCUGAAUGGAAGGGCCAUCGCUCAACGGAUAAAAGGUACUCCGGGGAUAACAGGCUGAUACCGCCCAAGAGUUCAUAUCGACGGCGGUGUUUGGCACCUCGAUGUCGGCUCAUCACAUCCUGGGGCUGAAGUAGGUCCCAAGGGUAUGGCUGUUCGCCAUUUAAAGUGGUACGCGAGCUGGGUUUAGAACGUCGUGAGACAGUUCGGUCCCUAUCUGCCGUGGGCGCUGGAGAACUGAGGGGGGCUGCUCCUAGUACGAGAGGACCGGAGUGGACGCAUCACUGGUGUUCGGGUUGUCAUGCCAAUGGCACUGCCCGGUAGCUAAAUGCGGAAGAGAUAAGUGCUGAAAGCAUCUAAGCACGAAACUUGCCCCGAGAUGAGUUCUCCCUGACUCCUUGAGAGUCCUGAAGGAACGUUGAAGACGACGACGUUGAUAGGCCGGGUGUGUAAGCGCAGCGAUGCGUUGAGCUAACCGGUACUAAUGAACCGUGAGGCUUAACCUUACAACGCCGAAGCUGUU